UAAAAGGUACUGAAAGUAAACCUACGUUAAUCCUAAACUAAGCUCCAAUGCUUUACCCGAUGCCUCGGGCCUUCACCACGAACGUCCUCCGGGUACAUGAUACCUCGGGGCAUUCCCCGGUGAAUAAAUAUAUACAGAUACUUCGGGACAUUCCCCGACCAAAUUAUACAAUUGAAUUAAAUGCAACAAAAAAAACCAAAAAAAAAAAAAACUAUUCUAACACAUAUUUCAAACAUGUCAUCAAUCCACCAUGCCUAAAUUUGCCUACCCGAAACUACCAUUUGCAUAUCCAAUUAGCGACCUAAAAUCGUGACACUAUCGAGUUCACCAACAUUAUUCAUGUUUAUUCCAAGUUGAAUAAAGAGUAACAAUAAAAUCAUUAUUAACCCAAAUUCAUCAUUUUAUCAAUAUCGUAAUUCCACCCCAAUUUUCCUUUUAUCAACCCAUUAAAACAUGAUCAAAUUCAUUCCUCAAACCAAUAUAGCCGAAUCACUAACGUCAUGAUCAACAUCAAUUAAAUAAAUCGAUCAACUACGAUAACUAAAGUGGCUCAAACACAUUGUCAAAAAUUAACCAUCAAACUCAAACAUGAACCACAUAAAUCAAGGACAUCAUCACAGAUAAAAUGAGAAAGAUAGAGUUGAAGAAUUUUGACCUUAAUUUUAUUUCAAGUCAGAUCGUUCGACUGAAGUCGCUUCACGGACUCAAUGAAUCUCGACUCUACAACCCGUUAACCCUCGAAUAGAAUCAACUCGGCCAACGAAACAAAACCCCGAUAAGUAUCCAAAAUUGAGACUGAGAAAAAGAAGAAAACCACAACCCCGAAUGACGAUUUAGUGGUCGGAACUGACACUAGCCGGUGGGAUUUGACCAAAAAAUAAGAGGCACGAGCUUAGAACGUGAUUUCAGAUCGUAAUAGAACCGGUGGUACUGUUUUCCGUCAGGUUUCGUCGGAACAGUAGCCAGGCCAUGGCUAUUGACGUUGAGCCGUGAUUCCGGUGGAUCUCCGGCGAUAACCCACCGGAGAAGAUACCUCUUACCUCAAUUUCGUUCUCGUCUCAGCUUUUCUCUCUCGAUUUUCUCCAAUCUCUCUCUCUCUCGCAGCUCCCUGUCGCUCUCUCGCAGCUCUCUAUCACCCUCUCCCUCUGUUCUUGCUACUGAUUGUUGUGCAUCAACAUCAGUGUGCGCGUGUGCACUCUGUUUCUGAGAAAAUCCCCCUUUUGUAUAUGAUGAUGGUGGUGUCCUGUGAAGAAGAAAAUACCAAUUCGAAUUUUUCUGUGUAGAUGUGAAUUUUGUUUUUGUUUAUGGAGAAGAAAAGAAUCCUCCUUUUUUUUUUUCGGUUUUCUUCCUC
rnacentral:lncRNA from 1 species